UACAGAGGUCCCAAGCGUUGUUCGGAUUCAUUGGGCGUAAAGGGUGCGUAGGUGGCGCGCUAAGUCAGGUGUGAAAUUUCGGAGCUUAACUCCGAAACUGCAUUUGAUACUGGCGUGUUUGAGGACUGGAGAGGAGACUGGAAUUUACGGUGUAGCAGUGAAAUGCGUAGAGAUCGUAAGGAAGACCAGUGGCGAAGGCGGGUCUCUGGACAGUUCCUGACACUGAGGCACGAAGGCCAGGGGAGCAAACGGG
rnacentral:rRNA from 1 species